GGGCCCGCACAAGCGGUGGAGUAUGUGGUUUAAUUCGAUGCAACGCGAAGAACCUUACCAGGGUUUGACAUCCUGCGAAUCUCUUGGAAACGAGAGAGUGCCUUCGGGAGCGCAGUGACAGGUGGUGCAUGGCUGUCGUCAGCUCGUGUCGUGAGAUGUUGGGUUAAGUCCCGCAACGAGCGCAACCCACGUCGUUAGUUGCCAGCAUUUAGUGGGCACUCUAGCGAGACCGCCGGUGAUAAACCGGAGGAAGGUGUGGAUGACGUCAAGUCAUCAUGCCCCUUACAUCCUGGGCUACACACGUACUACAAUGCUACGGACAAAGGGCAGCAAACUCGCGAGAGCUAGCAAAUCCCAUAAACCGUGGCUCAGUUCAGAUCGUAGGCUGCAACUCGCCUACGUGAAGGAGGAAUCGCUAGUAAUCGCGGAU
rnacentral:rRNA from 1 species